rnacentral:rRNA from 1 species
GAUGAACGCUGGCGGCGUGCCUAAUACAUGCAAGUCGAACGAAACUUCUUUAUCACCGAGUGCUUGCACUCACCGAUAAAGAGUUGAGUGGCGAACGGGUGAGUAACACGUGGGCAACCUGCCCAAAAGAGGGGGAUAACACUUGGAAACAGGUGCUAAUACCGCAUAACCAUAGUUACCGCAUGGUAACUAUGUAAAAGGUGGCUAUACUACCGCUUUUGGAUGGGCCCGCGGCGCAUUAGCUAGUUGGUAGGGUAAAGGCUUACCAAGGCAAUGAUGCGUAGCCGAAUUGAGAGGUUGAUCGGCCACACUGGAACUGAGACACGGUCCAGACUCCUACGGGAGGCAGCAGUAGGGAAUCUUCCACAAUGGGCGAAAGCCUGAUGGAGCAACGCCGCGUGGGUGAAGAAGGUCUUCGGAUCGUAAAACCCUGUUGUUAGAGAAGAAAGUGCGUGAGAGUAACUGUUCACGUUUCGACGGUAUCUAACCAGAAAGCCACGGCUAACUACGUG